GCGGAUACGUCCGCACGGGAUGUGGCCCAUAGAGGCUGAACCACAAA
rfam:Thorarchaeota archaeon SMTZ1-45 WOR1_30_36_30, whole genome shotgun sequence.